rnacentral:rRNA from 1 species
UACAGAGGAUGCAAGCGUUAUCCGGAAUGAUUGGGCGUAAAGCGUCUGUAGGUGGCUUUUUAAGUCCGCCGUCAAAUCCCAGGGCUCAACUCUGGACAGGCGGUGGAAACUACCAAGCUGGAGUACGGUAGGGGCAGAGGGAAUUUCCGGUGGAGCGGUGAAAUGCGUAGAGAUCGGAAAGAACACCAACGGCGAAGGCGGCUACCUGGACAAAUACUGACGCUGAGGCGCGAGAGCGUGGGGAGCAAACAGG